CCAGACUCCUACGGGAGGCAGCAGUGAGGAAUAUUGGUCAAUGGUCGGGAGACUGAACCAGCCAAGCCGCGUGAGGGAUGAAGGUACAGAGUAUCGUAAACCUCUUUUGUCAGGGAACAAAGGCGGGGACGCGUCCCCGGAUGAGUGUACCUGAAGAAAAAGCAUCGGCUAACUCCGUGCCAGCAGCCGCGGUAAUACGGAGGAUGCGAGCGUUAUCCGGAUUUAUUGGGUUUAAAGGGUGCGCAGGCGGUCUGUUAGGUCAGCGGUCAAAGCCCGGGGCUCAACUCCGGCCCGCCGUUGAAACUGGCGUUCUUGAGUGGGCGAGAAGUAUGCGGAAUGCGUGGUGUAGCGGUGAAAUGCAUAGAUAUCACGCAGAACUCCGAUUGCGAAGGCAGCAUACCGGCGCCCAACUGACGCUGAAGCACGAAAGCGUGGGUAUCGAACAGGAUUAGAUACCCUCGUA
rnacentral:rRNA from 1 species